UAUGAGGUAUUUACAGAAACAUUUAAUUAUAUUAAUAAUCAAAUGUAUUUAAUUAAUGUAUAUUUUCUAUAUAAUAUAUAUACAAUUUAAUUCAUAUAUAUUUAAUUUUUUUUUUUUUUUUUUACAUAUUUUAGUUAUUUAUAACUUUUCAUUUGUUCUUUCACAGACACAUUAAAGCUAAAAACUAAUUAAAAAAUUAUAGUUAAAAAUUAUAGUUGUAAGGCAGGUAGCUUUUGAAUCAUGUUUUUUCUUGAUUGUUGUUACUGAGUACAUUAUGUAUGCUUACAGGGACAUGGGGCCAGUGGACAAGUACAGUGUGGGAUUUCAUGUGACUGGCCUGACAAUGGGCGUGGUCAGUCUCCGCCUCUCAGCAGUGGAUGGACAUGGGUCUGUUAUAAGCUCCUCUCACAAGAAUAUGCAAGUUUACCCUCCAUUCAGUUUGCAGCCCUGUAAACUUACUCUGUCAGUUGGAAGCUUGCCACAGGUGAAAUGGGAGGGAUUCAUCCUCAGUAUGUUGUCAGGUUCUCUGUGAGUGACAGCGCUGUCACCAUGGUAACUGAGACAGGACGGGUCAGAGGUGUGGCAGUGGGUGUGGUCAAACUCAGAGGAGCUCUUCAGACACAAGAUACAGAAGCAUUGAUUACCUUUUUACAGGUAGCCCACAUUGCUUACCUUUGCUAAACAUGGCUUUCCAUAGUUUUUUUUUUAAGUUUUUUAUUUUUACUUUUUAAAGCCAUUUGUAAUUAAUGUCCUGCCUUGUGGAGCCAUACAGCCCAUACAAAAUAUUGUUAUUUACUGACGAUCAUAUAGCAGUAGACAUAGGGACUGUUCACACUGCACAUUAUUGCAUUUCACUUAGUCCACGCAUGGCACAGCAUUUUAAAAACAUGGUGCUCAAGGUAAAGUUCAGCUUUUAAAAAAUGAGUCUCUAGUUCACAUUCAUGCAGAAUAUGCUUUUGCUUUAAAAUGGCAAUGUUUAGGGAAGCAGAUUUUAAAAAAAAAUGGUCUAGAGACACAUAUUUUAAAAGAUCAGCUUUAUUUUAACUUGAGCUCCAUGUUUUUAGAACAGUUUGUCAUGCAAAAGAUGCAAACACAGUCAAAAAGUUCAUGUUUACAUACAAGAACAACAGAAAAGGUCUUCUUACGACUUUUAAAAAACACAUUUUACAUGUUUUUGUCAUUUCAACACAAAAACACAUUUUGUGUGAAAUGCCUCCUACUUAGAUACUGACGAACGAAAAAUGUAUGCUUGAUGUGAUUUUCCAUUGCCGUGACACCCAACAUGAAUAAUAAAUGACUACUUACCCAAUGCA
ensembl:lncRNA